rnacentral:rRNA from 1 species
AUACGGAGGAUGCGAGCGUUAUCCGGAUUUAUUGGGUUUAAAGGGAGCGUAGGUGGGAUAUUAAGUCAGCUGUGAAAGUUUGGGGCUCAACCUUAAAAUUGCAGUUGAUACUGGUUUCUUUGAGUACGGUACAGGUGGGCGGAAUUCGUGGUGUAGCGGUGAAAUGCUUAGAUAUCACGAAGAACUCCGAUCGCGAAGGCAGCUCACCGGGCCGGAACUGACACUGAUGCUCGAAAGUGCGGGUAUCAAACAGGAUUAGAUACCCUGGUAGUCCGCACAGUAAACGAUGAAUACUCGCUGUUUGCGAUACACUGUAAGCGGCCAAGCGAAAGCGUUAAGUAUUCCACCUGGGGAGUACGCCGGCAACGGUGAAACUCAAAUGAAUUGGCGGGG